GACGAACGCUGGCGGCGUGCUUAACACAUGCAAGUCGUACGGUAAGGCCCUUUCGGGGGUACACGAGUGGCGCACGGGUGCGUAACACGUGAGUAACCUGCCCACAACUUUGGGAUAACGCUAGGAAACUGGUGCUAAUACUGGAUAUGUGCCCCUGCUGCAUGGUGGGGGUUGGAAAGCUCCGGCGGUUGUGGAUGGACUCGCGGCCUAUCAGCUUGUUGGUGGGGUAGUGGCCUACCAAGGCGGCGACGGGUAGCCGGCCUGAGAGGGUGACCGGCCACAUUGGGACUGAGAUACGGCCCAGACUCCUACGGGAGGCAGCAGUGGGGAAUAUUGCACAAUGGGCGCAAGCCUGAUGCAGCAACGCCGCGUGCGGGAUGACGGCCUUCGGGUUGUAAACCGCUUUCAGCAGGGACGAAGCUUUUUGUGACGGUACCUGCAGAAGAAGCACCGGCUAACUACGUG
rnacentral:rRNA from 1 species